rnacentral:rRNA from 1 species
CCGUAGAGGGUGUCGGUGCUCGCCUCGGCGCGCGGCCUCGUCUGCCUCCGCGGCUGCGCCACCGGUUUCUACUACAUCGCCAACCGGCUCACCUUCCGCCGCGUGCGCCUCCCCUACCAGAACCGCGACCACCGGCUCGACGCCGACCCGGCCGUCGUCAUCGCCUUCGAGGACGACGACGUGGGCGCCGCCGGCGCCGUCGGCUUCCGCCACUACCACGUCGUCGUCACCUACCAGGUCCACGACGGCGUCUGGGCCGUCGAGUCCUUCUCCACCCGCACCUGGGACUGGCGCGUCGGGGACGACAUCUGCGCGCCCGAGACGGUCGUCGCCCAGUCCGGGGUCGGCGCGCGCGACCGCGCCUUCUUCCGCACCACCAUCGGCCACAUCCUCUGCUACACCCCGGAGACGGGCUGCGUCGACCUCAUCCCCGCGCCCCAGGAGGUCGAGGGCCGCAAGGACUGGGAGAUCGGCGAGAUGGAGGGCAACUUCUGCGUCGCCUGCGUCGACCAGCCCGCCAAGGAGGUGGCCGUGCUCUACAUGGUGCCCGGCGACGGCGCCGACCAGGUCACCUGGGCCUGGGUGGGCCAGUUCCACGCCAACAAGAUGGGCUACCACGGGCCACGGCAGGAUGACCCUGCUCCGCUCCAGGGCGCCGCCGAGGUGGUCAUGUGGGAUCCUUUCGAGCAGCUCGUGCUCGCCGUCGACUUCGAUGGCAGGGUCACCCGCUCCAUCGGCCCCCUCUCCGGCGGGAUGUACUACUCGGAUUUCAUCCCCUACGUCAACUCAUACGCCGACAUCUACAGGUACUGCUCAGAUUAA